CACAUGCAAGUCGAACGGACACGACCUCUAGCUUGCUAGAGGAAACGGUUAGUGGCGAACGGGUGAGUAACGCGUGGGAAUGUACCUUAUAGUAUGGGACAACAGUUGGAAACGACUGCUAAUACCGUAUACGCUCUUCGGAGGAAAGAUUUAUCGCUAUAAGAUCAGCCCGCGUUGGAUUAGUUAGUUGGUGAGGUAAUGGCUUACCAAGGCUACGAUCUAUAGCUGGUCUGAGAGGAUGAUCAGCCACACUGGAACUGAGACACGGUCCAGACUCCUACGGGAGGCAGCAGUGGGGAAUAUUGGACAAUGGGCGAAAGCCUGAUCCAGCCAUGCCGCGUGAGUGAUGAAGGCCUUAGGGUUGUAAAACUCUUUCAGUAGGGAAGAUAAUGACGGUACCUACAGAAGAAGCCCCGGCUAACUUC
rnacentral:rRNA from 1 species